rnacentral:rRNA from 1 species
AUGGACAUCCCUGUUGCAUCCUUCCGAAGCACUAGCCCCUCUCAAGUUUAUAGGAAGUUGCUGAAAUCAAAGAGGAGCAGCAAAAGAUCGAUGAGGCUAUUAAAAUCAUGCAGGAUGUUGUUCAUUGAAGGGGUGCCACUUGGCUGGCAGCAGGAAGUAAGCGAUCAACAUCAUCAAGAUCCGCUUGAAGGACAACACCAUGGAAGAUGCUCAAUGACCAGAUCGUCGUCCUCUCCGAGAGGAGGGGCCAGCUCAAGCAGCCACCUCUUCACCACCACACGCCAGUCAGCGCACGAGGCAGCGGAACUGGAUUUGUCUUCGUCCAGGGAAGUGAAGUCGUCUGCUCCUGUGCGGUGCUGGGCCAACGACCUCCGCUUCUCUUCUCCAUGGACAAACUUCAAAAGGCAACAGCAAGCCAUAUCAAGGGAGGGGAUUGAAGUCACCCCACCUCAAAUCCAUGGGCGCCAUCCACAAGAACCGUGGCCAGGACAAGGAGGCGGACAUCUUCGCACUGCUUUUUGGCGGAGGGCGACGCAGAUUUGCGAGCCUUGUGGCGCAGGUUGA